UCAAAUCACGUUGGGAAAGAAGGCCCCUGGACUUAAGCAUAUUAAUAAGGGGACAAAGAGAAAGGUACUCCGAUCUUAUGAGUAACGGCGAGUGAAAGUGGGAAAGAGGCGAGGCUAGCAACACCAUUCCCUUCAGGGAACAGUGCAAGGGCCUAGGUUUGGUUAUGGUUACUGGUGGCGUAAAGGAAAGGCUUGAAAUGGCCCCUCCAAAGCAGGUGAGAAUCCUAUGCUUUAUGCCGUUACACCAGUCAACGCAGGCUAAACUCAACGAGUACGGCUGCUUGGGAUUGCAGUCGGAAGAUACGGCAUACGCAAGCCGCAACCCAGAAUACCUGCCCGGGCAGAUAGCGAACAAGUACCGUGAGGGAAAGUCGAAAAGAACUCUGAGGAGAGAGUGAAAUAGUGCAUGAAACGGAAGUCGGAUAAGCAUAUGCAUCUAUAUCCUUUUUGGGGGAAAGAGACGAUUCUUGGGGUGGUAUUAAUUCCAUUUUUCGGCCUGGAACCUUGAAGGAACCCUCUGCAUGUUAAACAGCGGAAAAUGAACGUCUCCUCACGGGGGGAUUGUUCACUAUCCUCGCACAUACACCAACAUGCAGUUGCUAUGUGUGCUCCUUGAACUGGUACGCGGCUCGAUAUCGACCGGUUUUAGGGAGUUAUCUUCGUACCACGCCAAGGAUGGGUUAUUAUGGGUGCAUUUGUCCCGUCUUGAAACACGGACCAAGGAGUUUGAUACUAUGCCGAGUGUGAUGGCCUCACUAAACCAGCACGCGGAGUGAAAGCAAGAUACGGGGAAAAUUUCCCCCGCCUCCUGCCAAGGAGAGCAAGGCAUAUCAUCGAAACCCGAAAGAUGGUGAACUAUGCGUGGGCAGGCCGAACCCUGGGGAAACCCAGGCGGAGGGUCGUAGGGAUUCUGGCGUGCAAACCGAUCUCUGGACCCGCGUAUAGGGGCGAAAGACUAAUCGAACCAUCUAGUAGCUGGUUCCUCUUGAAGUUUCCCUCAGGAUAGCUCGACGCGAGAACAUCCCUCUCCCAAGGGGGGUGGACAGCAUUUGUUCCCGGUAGAGAGAAUGAUUAGUGGCCUUGGGGGGAUAAUUUACCCUCAACCAAUUAUCAAACUUACAACGGGUUCUGGCGGAACGCCAGAGUUUCUUCGGCGAAUUUAUCCGUAGAAUGCCGCGUCGUAGUGGGCCAUUUUUGGUAAGCAGAACUGGCGAUUAGGGAUGAACCUGACUUUUCGCUACGGGCGGGAGAUCGAGCUCAUCAGGUACCACAAAAGGAGUUGCUCGCUUAAGACAUCAGGACGGUGGCCAUGGAAGUCGGAACCCGCUAAGGAGUGUGUAACAACUCACCUGACGAAGCGAUCAGCCCUGAAAAUGGACCCGACUCAAGCGAGAUCCCUAGGCGGAAAUGGUUCCAAAACGACUGCUUAAUCAUGAUUUUUAAGUAGCCCAGGAACUAUGUAAAGAGGCGCACCUGUGGAGCGUGAUUCAGCCUGAAAAGGUUUACUCCUCCGCAGGCGGUGUUGAUCUUGGUGAAAGUAGCAACUACUCAAGUGAGAGCCUUGAGAGCCGAUGUGGAGAAGGGUUCCAUGUAAACAGCAUUUGAACAUGGGUGAGCCGAUCCUAAGACGAUUUAGCCGAAAGGCUGAAGACAGGCACGCAAUUGAGCAAUCUACCUGUGUGCGUAUGUGUCGAAAGGGAAUCCGGUUAAUAUUCCGGAGCCUCAGGUGGGAGUGUGCAACGGUCUUUUCCGCGGCAUAUUACCGGUAACGGCGUGGAGAGUGCAGACAUCACGGCUUGCUUGGGUCAGAGAUUUCUAUUCUGGGUAAGCGAAGGCGGGUCCCCGAAAUCUUGUAAUGGGGAGAAGGGGGUCUUGCCAGCGCAACAUCCUGUGUCACAUAGGGUCCCGAACGCAUAACGUGGUCCUUGAAAAUGUGCUCUCAUGGUUUUUAUCAUCCGCAUCUGUGAUCGUACCUAUUUCCGCAUCAGGUCUCCUAGGUGAAUAGCCUUUGGCUAACUGAAGAAUGCGGAUAAGGGAAGUCGGCAAAGCGGCGCCGUAACUUCGGGACAAGGCGUGGCUCUGCAGGUUUGUGCGCGAGCAACAUCAAGCACACCCGCCUUGACAAAACCGUGGGCAUCUGUUCGCGGGGACGGCAAGUUUGUGGGAAUUGUUGUUUGGUGCCCCGCGGUUCACGCUGUGGGUGCUUGCGUCGUUGAAAAACAUUGCAGAACUGGCACGGACCAUGGGAAUCCGACUGUCUAAUUAAAACAAAGCAUCGAGAAGUGCACAGAAGCUGUUGACUCGAUGUGAUUUCUGCCCAGUGCGCUGAAUGUUACGGGCCAGAAAUGUACUUAAGCUCGCGUAAACGGCGGGAGUAACUAUGACUCUCUUAAGGUAACCAAAUGCCUCGUCAUCUAAUUAGUGACGCGCAUGAAUGGAUUAACGAGAUUCCCGCUGUCCCUAUCCGCCAUCAGGCGAAACCACAGCCAGGGGAACGGGCCUGGAAAACACAGCGGGGAAAGAAGACCCUGUUGAGCUUGACUCUAGUUUGGCCUAGGGAGGGAACAGAUGAGGUGUAGCCUAGGAGGGAGAUUUAUCGCCGCUGAAAAACCUCCACUCGUCUAGUUUUCUCCCUCACGCGAUCGUGCUUGACCUACACUAGGUAUUUUGGAUACAAUCCCCCACUAUUUGGGAAGGAGACUCGCGUCGUGGACGGGGCCAAGUGGGGAGUUUGACUGGGGCGGUACAUCUGUCAAAGGGUAACGCAGGUGUCCUAAGGGCUGCUCAGGGAUCGGACGGAAACCUCCCGAGGAGCAAAAGGGCAAAAGCAGCCUUGAUCUAGACUUUCAGUAAAAGUAGAGACCUGGAAACAGGGGCCUAUUGAUCCUUUCGUAUUAAAGGCGGAAAGAUUUUUUCCUACACGCCUUAAAAAACUUUGCGUGUUGCGAGAGGUGUCAGAAAAGUUACCACAGGGAUAACUGGCUUGUGGCUGCCAAGCGUUCAUAGCGACGUAGCUUUUUGAUCCUUCGAUGUCGGCUCUUCCUACCGUGGCGAAGCAGAAUUCGCCCAGCGUCGGAUUGUUCACCCGCUAACAGGGAACGUGAGCUGGGUUUAGACCGUCGUGAGACAGGUUAGUUUUACCCUACUGUGUAUCACUAACUCCAUGCUACCGCGUUAGUAGUCCUGCCCAGUACGAGAGGAACAGUUGGGCCAAACCUCUGGUACGAGGGUCGCCUGAUGAGGCGGUGCCCUGGCGCUACGUUUGUAAGGAGUACGCCUGAUAGCAUCUAAGGCGGAAACCAUGCUAACCACAGCGGGAGUAUGUAUCCACUCCGCGCCUUUAACAUAACAAACAUAUGCAACAAGGAUAUGGAAGUUUACGAAGAUGAGGAGGCCCUACUUCUCUAUUCAUUUUACGGGGAAAAGCGCGGUUCAGCCGCCUGUAUACGACUUGAAUAACUGGACUGGUACUGUAGCAAGAUGAGGGGGGCCUUCCCCCGAGCUUCUGAGGCUCAGCCUGAAACCAGUUUUGGCUGAAU
rnacentral:rRNA from 1 species